rnacentral:rRNA from 1 species
UUAGAGUUUGAUGCUGGCUCAGGAUGAACGCUAGCUAGAGGCCUAACGCAUGCAAGUCAAGGGGUAACAGGGGAGCUUGCUCCCGCUGACUACCGGCGCACGGGUGAGUAACGCAUAUGCUACCUGCCCGCCACAGGGGGAUAGCCUUCCGAAAGGGAGAUUAAUACCGCAUAAGACCACGUCCUGGGCAUCCAGGAGGGGUAAAAUAUUUAUAGGUGGCGGCUGGGCAUGCUGUGACAUUAGCUAGUUGGCGGGGCAACGGCCCACCAAGGCGACGAUGUCUAGGGGAACUGAGAGGUCGAUCCCCCACACUGGUACUGAGACACGGACCAGACUCCUACGGGAGGCAGCAGUGAGGAAUAUUGGUCAAUGGAGGAAACUCUGAACCAGCCAUCUCGCGUGAAGGACUACGGCCCUACGGGUCUUAAACUUCUUUUAUAGGGGGAUAAAGUCGCAUACGUGUAUGUGAUUGCAGGUACCCUAUGAAUAAGCAUCGGCUAACUCCGUGCCAGCAGCCGCGGUAAUACGGAGGAUGCGAGCGUUAUCCGGAUUUAUUGGGUUUAAAGGGUGCGCAGGCGGCGCGUUAAGUCAGCGGUGAAAUGUCGGGGCUCAACCCCGGCACUGCCGUUGAAACUGUCGUGCUCGAGUACGGAUGAAGCGGGCGGAAUGUGAUGUGUAGCGGUGAAAUGCUUAGAUAUGUCACAGAACGCCGAUUGCGAAGCCAGCUCGCUAAUCCGCAACUAACGCUCAUGCACGAAAGCGUGGGGAUCGAACAGGAUUACAUACCCUGUGUAGUCCACGCAGUAAACGAUGAAGGCUAUCUAUUGGCGAUAUACAGUCA